GCGGACCCGGACUCACUCCCUCCACCUGCCCCUCCUGCCUGCGCUGCGGUCCUUGCUGCUUCAGUGUUUGUCACCGAAGAUCCGUCUUCCUCCCCACCCCACAACAUGACCAGAUCUGGGAAUCCACGUGACAGACUCCACACACCUCCUGCACCACCCAGCCCCCUCUGCCCAUCUUUCUGUCUGUCCUACGUUAUUUCACAGUCCAUCUAGCAGCUUCUAGAAACAAGGCAAGAAUAGCAUCCUUUCCCACGCAGCGGGAAAAGCUAGCUAUCAGGUCAGCAAGUCUCUGUUCCGCCUGGCGGUCAGUUCAAUUCCAGGCCUGCCCAGGGGCGGGGGGUGGUCUCUCUGGUCUACCGACUCCAUGGCCCACCCCUCUUGGGGAAGGAGAACAUGCUACUACCCCGGCCAGGUGUGAUGGGAGUACUGCCUGCCAUGACAGGGUAUUUUUUAAAGAGAAAGUGCUGGCACGUGGAGAUGGCAUCUGCCACGUGGGGGCAUCCAGAGAGUGGAGACCAUCACCCUCAACAGGACAAAUUCAGUGAGCAUCAUGCUUACGUGCCUUUUAUGCAGACAGAGGGGCUGAGUCGAUGCCAUUGGGAGUGGCCCAUGGCCGAAGGGGGAAGGGACGCAGACAGGGGAUCAAAGCACAAGCUCCAGGUCCUACAGUUCUGGGCCACCAGGCAUUUGCCCUGGGCUGGGGACCCCUCAUUUGGUAGUAGGUUUUUUGUCACACUUGGAAAUUGAAGCUCAGUGGCGAGGAAACAUGGGGAUUCAUCCCCGACACACACAUGUAGGCGGGUGCACACACGCACGUGAGUAUACACCUGUUUUGGAGCAAGAAGAUGGAACCACGGAUUCCAUCAAAGCCGUCGGAGCUCACCUGGCCCAGCACACUCAUUCCACAGGUAAGGAAACAGACCCAAAGGGGACUAUUACCCGAGGUCGCACCGCCUGUUGGUGAUACAGCUGGAUCCCAGACCCCCUAACUUCCCCCAGGUGGUCUUUCCUCAACACUGAGGCCCUGGGUCUCACCAGAGGGAUAUUCAAGAACUUUAACAAGCUGCAGCAGCAGAAGCCCCGGCAAUCAGCAUGGAUGUUAACCCUGAGUCAGGGUCCUGGAGACCCCCUGAGAUGCCCCUUUGAAUGCUGGAUUCGGGAAAGGUGUUGGGGUCCCAGGAAGAGCAGGCUGGAACAGUGAGGGAGUGUUUGGGGGGCUUAGGGGCAGCAAUUUGCCAACUGGAAUGGAAGCAUUUUAACGCGUCAACAACACUGUAUCGCUGUGUUGCUUGAACGUCAGCCCUGGAGCCAGCAAUCCCCCAGCCUGGGAGCCAAGGGUGAAAAAACCCCUCCGUCCCCUUAGAUCAGGUUUCUUGGGAGGGCAAGAGCUGGCUUGCCUACUACAAUUGGCACCUGUGUGCCUGGGGUGGGGGAUGGGGCGGGAGAAGACCGUGAAAACCAAGAGACAGGAACCAGCCUUUAGCCCCUGGACACCUGGCCAUGCCACCAUGCAAUGCACGAUCCGCAGCCCAGCCUGGCCUUCCCUGUGGCAGCAGUAGCAACUUUGUUUUUUAAGCUUGGAAGUGGGGCUGCCCAAGACCCCACGCGGCACAAUCUGCAGCUGCGAGGGGCGUUCUCCAGCACCGGCUGCCUCCCAGAACCGCAGCCGAGAGCAGGUUUCCCCUGAGAGCCUGCCUUCAAAAGGUCACUUGCACAAGAAGCUGCACCUCAGAUUCUUCUAGGCAACCUGGCCGGAAAUAACUGGGGAGUGAGGCCUGUGGGACAGAUCGGGGAACCAGAGAGGGGACUCUCCUUCCUGAGCCAGCAAACCACCCACCCAUCUCCUCAUUCGGCCCUCACUCUGCAGGUCUCGAAAGCAAGCGGGAAUUGAGUGAGCACCUGGGACACUGGGCACCUUGGGAGGAGAGUGUGGGGUACGUGUGGCCGAGGAGGGGACAAAGUAAAUAGACAUCGAUAUGGAGCUUGGAUUAUGGAAAUACGAUGCCCAGACAUGAGCCCACUUGAGAGAAAUUACAGAGUAAAGUGUUGGCAUGCCAAAAACCAACCAGCACCUCUUGGUUACCUUGGGACAAGUGGCAAAGGGUUUCUGGGCAGGAGUUCACUUCCAGGUACCCUUACCAUCCCCCCCACCCCCUUCGCCAUAUUCUCUAGGUUAGAAGCAAGUCGCCUGUCCUGCCCACACUCGGGGUGAGGGGCUGCGGAAGGGAGUGAACCCGGGAGCCGUGGACCCGCAGGACUGGCUCUGGUCCAUCUGCACGCCCACGCAUUGGCAGGGCUGUUUGCCAUUCUUGUUGUUAAUAAUUUGUUGGUUGGUUGGGUAGUUUUAAAAAAAGAGGAAAUUUGGGGCAAUCUGGGCAAAGAGAACAAACAUGGAUGAAGAGGGUUGUUGGAAAUGACGCCUGAGGGCCGGGCAGGGAGGCCGCAUAUAACAGGGAGGCCUUGCGUGCUAAGUGAAGAAGUGAAGACUUUACUCUGAAAGUUUCGAGUAGCCACGAUGGAUUUUAGAAGGAAAAUUACUUGAUCGGAUUUUCGUUUUAGAAAGAUUCUUUCAGCAGUGGUUUUAAGGGUAUUUAGAAAGAGGUGUUUUAGGUAUCUAUUGCCAUAUAAUGUAUUACCUUAAAACUUAGCAGUAUAAGAUGAUAAAUGUUUAUUCUUUCACAUGGUUUCUGAGGGUGAGGGAUCCAGGAGAAGCUUAGGUGGGUGGUUAUCGUUCAGGGUUUCUUUUUCUUUUGAGGAGAAGGAAAGAGAAGUUUAUUAAUUUGCCGGCAAAUGAGGAGGUUGGCAGACUCCCAUCUUAAAGUUCCAACGUCCUAUUCAGGGUUUCUUCUGAGGUUCCAGUCACGCUGUCUGAAGGCUGGAGCGGGCUGGGGAUGUGCUUCCAGGCCGGCCAGCUCACAUGCUGUCCGCAGAGGCCUCGGUUCCUCAACACAAGGCCUCUCCAUGGCAGCUAGCAUCAGAGCCUGUGGUCCAGGAGCGAAUAAGGAGAAAGGCUCAGUGCUUUUAUGACCUAUUCACGCUCACUUCUGCCACAGUCUGUGAGAAGUGAGUCAGUAAGUCCAGCCUCCACUCAAGGAGAGAGGAAUCAGGCUCCAUGUUUUGGAGAGAGGCCUGUUGAAUAUUUGCAGACAUAUUGUAAAACCGUCAUAGGUGGUUAGUUAGCCUCCAGGCAGAAAGACCAGUUGGGAGAUUAUAGGAAUAUACCAGGAGAGAAAUGUAAUGGCCUGAACUGAGGCACAGAGAGGAGGGAUGUCUUGAAGAGUUAUUACUACAGAGGUGACUGGUGUAGUGCAGGGAACCGUGAUGGGUCAGGGCCAAUUGGCAGGAGCAGCCUUUGGAGCACCCUCCCUCAGAGGCAAGACCCCCGACAUCCCCGGGCAGUCUGAACUGCCUCCAUUUGCAGAUGGGAGAAGGUGGUGGGUAACCUGACCAAGAGCACCCAGGAGUGCUUGGAUGAUUGUAGGUUUCUGCAGCAGCUUGGGGGUGGAGACAGUACUAAGCAGGCUGAAACUUCCAUUGGUGAGAGCCUUUUGGAUUAAUCCCUCCAGAAUAAGAUUAGGGUAAGAACAGUUCCUCCCCACCCACCCCCCACAGAAGACAGAAACCUCUGAUAGCCAAUAAUAAUGGCAGAGUAGCACAUUCUGAGUCAACAUGUUCAUGACUACACUUUCACCCACCAUCCCAGAUGUGUCAAGCAUGUGUGUGGUCAUACGUUCAUUCAGCGAACAUUUGCUGGAUACCACCAUGUCCCAGGCCCUGGAGAGAAAAACUAGAAAUUAAAAUUAACAUCAGACUUCUCAACAGUGACACUAGAGCUAGAAGACAAUGGAACAAAUGGAACAAGCUUUCAAUGUUCCCAGGGAAAAUUGUGUCUAACCUGCAAUUCCAUACCCAGCCCAACUAUCAAGAAGUGUGAAGGGGGAAAUGAACACAUUUCAGACAGGUAAGGCCUCAAAAUUUUUACUUCCAAUGCACACUUUCUCAGGAAGAUAUGAAAGUUUUUGCCACCAAAAAAAAAAAA